rnacentral:rRNA from 1 species
CAGGCUUAACACAUGCAAGUCGAGGGGCAGCAUUUCAGUUUGCUUGCAAACUGGAGAUGGCGACCGGCGCACGGGUGAGUAACACGUAUCCAACCUGCCGAUAACUCGGGGAUAGCCUUUCGAAAGAAAGAUUAAUACCCGAUGGUAUAAUCAGACCGCAUGGUCUUGUUAUUAAAGAAUUUCGGUUAUCGAUGGGGAUGCGUUCCAUUAGGCAGUUGGUGAGGUAGCGGCUCACCAAACCUUCGAUGGAUAGGGGUUCUGAGAGGAAGGUCCCCCACAUUGGAACUGAGACACGGUCCAAACUCCUACGGGAGGCAGCAGUGAGGAAUAUUGGUCAAUGGGCGCAAGCCUGAACCAGCCAAGUAGCGUGAAGGAUGACUGCCCUAUGGGUUGUAAACUUCUUUUAUAUGGGAAUAAAGUUUUCCACGUGUGGAAUUUUGUAUGUACCAUAUGAAUAAGGAUCGGCUAACUCCGUGCCAGCAGCCGCGGUAAUACGGAGGAUCCGAGCGUUAUCCGGAUUUAUUGGGUUUAAAGGGAGCGUAGGUGGACAGUUAAGUCAGUUGUGAAAGUUUGCGGCUCAACCGUAGAAUUGCAGUUGAUACUGGCUGUCUUGAGUACAGUAGAGGUGGGCGGAAUUCGUGGUGUAGCGGUGAAAUGCUUAGAUAUCACGAAGAACUCCGAUUGCGAAGGCAGCCCACUGGACUGCAACUGACACUGAUGCUCGAAAGUGUGGGUAUCAAACAGGAUUAGAUACCCUGGUAGUCCACACAGUAAACGAUGAAUACUCGCUGUUUGCGAUAUACAGUAAGCGGCCAAGCGAAAGCAUUAAGUAUUCCACCUGGGGAGUACGCCGGCAACGGUGAAACUCAAAGGAAUUGACGGGGGCCCGCACAAGCGGAGGAACAUGUGGUUUAAUUCGAUGAUACGCGAGGAACCUUACCCGGGCUUAAAUUGCAUUUGAAUAAUCUGGAAACAGGUUAGCCGCAAGGCAAAUGUGAAGGUGCUGCAUGGUUGUCGUCAGCUCGUGCCGUGAGGUGUCGGCUUAAGUGCCAUAACGAGCGCAACCCUUAUCUUUAGUUACUAACAGGUCAUGCUGAGGACUCUAGAGAGACUGCCGUCGUAAGAUGUGAGGAAGGUGGGGAUGACGUCAAAUCAGCACGGCCCUUACGUCCGGGGCUACACACGUGUUACAAUGGGGGGUACAGAAGGCAGCUACCUGGUGACAGGAUGCUAAUCCCAAAAGCCUCUCUCAGUUCGGAUCGAAGUCUGCAACCCGACUUCGUGAAGCUGGAUUCGCUAGUAAUCGCGCAUCAGCCAUGGCGCGGUGAAUACGUUCCCGGGCCUUGUACACACCGCCCGUCAAGCCAUGAAAGCCGGGGGUACCUGAAGUACGUAACCGCAAGGAGCGUCCUAGGGUAAAACUGGUAAUUGGGGCUA